rnacentral:rRNA from 1 species
AUGAACGCUAGCGACAGGCCUAACACAUGCAAGUCAGGGCAGCACAAGGAGCAAUCUGAGGUGGCGACCGGCGCACGGGUGAGUAACACGUAUGCAACCUGCCUGUAAGCGGGGAAUAACCCGUUGAAAGACGGACUAAUACCGCAUAAUACUAAAUUACUGCAUGGUAAUUUAUUUAAACAUUUAUGGCUUACAGAUGGGCAUGCGCAUGAUUAGCUAGUUGGAGAGGUAACGGCUCCCCAAGGCAACGAUCAUUAGGGGUUCUGAGAGGAAGGUCCCCCACACUGGUACUGAGACACGGACCAGACUCCUACGGGAGGCAGCAGUGAGGAAUAUUGGUCAAUGGACGAGAGUCUGAACCAGCCAAGUCGCGUGCAGGAAGAAUGUCCUUAAUGGAUUGUAAACUGCUUUUGCAGGGGAAUAAAGUGCAUCACGUGUGAUGUUUUGUAUGUACUCUGCGAAUAAGGAUCGGCUAACUCCGUGCCAGCAGCUGC